GACAGAGGGUGCAAACGUUGUUCGGAAUUACUGGGCGUAAAGCGCGUGUAGGUGGCGAUGUAAGUCGGGUGUGAAAUCCCUCGGCUCAACCGAGGAAGUGCACUCGAUACUGUGUCGCUUGAGUGUUGGAGGGGAUGGCGGAAUUCCCGGUGUAGAGGUGAAAUUCGUAGAUAUCGGGAGGAACACCUGUGGCGAAGGCGGCCAUCUGGACAACUACAUGACACUGAGACGCGAAAGCGUGGGUAGCAAACAGG
rnacentral:rRNA from 1 species